GCCAGGUGCAGUGGCCCAUGCCUGUAAUCCCAGGAACUCAGGAGGCUGAGGCAGGAGGAUCGCAGGUUCAAAGGCAGCCUCAGCAACAUAAUGAGGCUCUAAGCAACUUAGUGAGACCCUGUCUCAA
rnacentral:sRNA from 1 species